UACGUAGGGCGCAAGCGUUAUCCGGAAUUAUUGGGCGUAAAGAGCUCGUAGGCGGUUUGUCGCGUCUGCCGUGAAAACUUGGGGCUCAACCCCAAGCUUGCGGUCGAUACGGGCAGGCUAGAGUUCGGUAGGGGAGACUGGAAUUCCUGGUGUAGCGGUGAAAUGCGCAGAUAUCAGGAGGAACACCGGUGGCGAAGGCGGGUCUCUGGGCCGAUACUGACGCUGAGGAGCGAAAGCUAGGGGAGCAAACGGG
rnacentral:rRNA from 1 species